GAUGAAGAACGCAGCGAAAUGCGAUACGUAAUGUGAAUUGCAGAAUUCAGUGAAUCAUCGAAUCUUUGAACGCAUAUUGCGCUCUCUGGUAUUCCGGAGAGCAUGCUUGUUUGAGUAUCAGUAAACACCUCAACUUCCAUAUCUUUUUUGAAAUGGGAGUUGGACUUGAGCGAUCCCAACGCUUUUCCUCACCGAAAAGUGGCGGGUUACUUGAAAUGCAGGUGCAGCUGGACUUUUCUCUGAGCUAUAAGCAUAUCUAUUUAGUCUGCCUAAAAAACAGAUUAUUACCUUUGCUGCAGCUAACAUAAAGGAGAUUAGUUCUUGUGCUGACUGAUGCAGGAUUCACAAAGACAGGCUUCGGCCGACUUUGUAAACUCGAUCUCAAAUCAAGUAAGACUACCCGCUGAACUUAAGCAUAUCAAUAAGCGAGGA
rnacentral:misc_RNA from 1 species